rnacentral:rRNA from 1 species
GGCGGCGUCGUUAAUAGCGGCGUUGUUUGACGUUAGCGACAGAAGAAGCACCGGCUAACUCCGUGCCAGCAGCCGCGGUAAUACGGAGGGUGCGAGCGUUAAUCGGAAUUACUGGGCGUAAAGCGCAUGCAGGUGGUUUGUUAAGUCAGAUGUGAAAGACCCGGGGCGUCAACCUCGGAAUAGCAUUUGUAAACUGGCAGACUAGAGUACUGUAGAGGGGGGUAGGAAUUUCAGGUGUAGCGGUGAAAUGCGUAGAGAUCUGAAGGAAUACCGGUGGCGAAGGCGGCCCCCUCGGACAGAUACUGACACUCAGAUGCGAAAGCGUGGGGAGCAAACAGGAUUAGAUACCCUGGUAG